CCCUUAGAUGUUCUGGGCUGCACGCGUGUUACAAUCGGGAGUACAACAAGAUUGCAAAUCCUAGUGGAUGAGUGGUUCUUCGAAAUUUUCUGAAGACUGGGAUAGUUGAUUGAAAUUAUUCAACUCGAACGAGGAAUUCCUUGUAAUUGUAAUUCAUUAUAUUGUAAUGAAUACGUCCCUGCCCUUUGUACACACUGCCCGUCGCUCCUACCGAUUGAACGAUCCGGUGAAUUAUUUGGAGUAGCUCUGGAAGUUGCAGAACUUCCUAUGUCACGAAAUUUUGUAAACCUUAUCGUUUAGAGGAAGGAAAAGUCGGAACA
rnacentral:rRNA from 1 species